rfam:Omnitrophica WOR_2 bacterium RBG_13_41_10 RBG_13_scaffold_804, whole genome shotgun sequence.
UGGAGUACUCAUACCGAGGGGGAAACACCCGUUCCCAUUCCGAAUACGGAAGUUAAGCUCCUCAGGGCCGAUGGUAGUGUAGUCGUAAGGCUAUGUGAGAGUAGGUCGGUGCUCCUC